UUGCUACCAUAUCGCGUUGAAACAAUGGUUCUCGUACAAUCACCGAAGUUAAGCAAAGUCGAGCCUGGUCAGUAUCUAGAUGGGUGACUGUUUGGGAAUACUA
rnacentral:rRNA from 1 species